UGUUUUUAUGGUAAUAAUUUAUGUGUAGGUAUUUUCUGAAUGUAAUGUAUAGUUAUAUGACUUGUACAGUAAUUCAUGGAAUUAUUAUUUUAUAAUUUGUAUUCAGUUGAGUACAAAAUUUAAAAAGGUGACUUACUUUUGAUUGGUAAUAAAAUAGCAACAAAUGGACUGUAUCUUGCUUGAAAGAGAUGUGUUUUGUGAUAUAAUAAUAAGGAAAUUAAAAUGUUAAACUGUUUGUGAAACUUGGUCUGUUACUGUAAACGUAUUGAGGGUGCUCAAGAAAAGUGCUGUUUAGAAUAUUUGGACGUAAGAGGGAUGGUGUGACUGGAGGCUGAAGAAAACUGCAUAAUGAGGAAUCCCAUAGUUUGUACUCUUGACCAUAUGUUGGAGUGAGAUGGAUGGGACAUACAUCAUGUAUGAGGCAAUGGACAAAGGAAGGAGGUUGGUGUUAAAUAUUAAACAUAAUUAGGAUUUCAGAUUAUGGUGUUGAGUGUGAAGAUAGCUAUCCUCUGGGUUGUAUGAGAGGUAGCAGAGGUAUUCACUGCCUCUCUGUAAUGAUGGAAGCAGCAAGAACUAUGAAACGUCGGUAAACAUCUACCAGACUACAUAAGGCUACAAUUCUAAAGACAGCCAACAUCAGUAAACAAUGUUACCGACAAACUCGAAGAUUAAGCCUUAAACGUUUUGCUGUGGAUCAUGUUGAUAGAUGGCAGUAAUGUCAAACUGUAAACUACAUUUGGUAUACCAACAAAAUUAACUACUGACCUUUUUUUCAGGGUGACUGGCAUUACUGAAAUAUUGUUCUAUCGGCCGUAUUAUUUUUUAAACAACGAGAUGUUCAUCUUUCCAGAUUAUCUGCCUUCUAAUAUUAAAUAAUGAGUUCGUGCUCUCGCGGAUCUCCCAGAUAAUGGAGGAAACGUCAGUCAGUUUCUACUAUUCGGAACUUUUCAGAGGACAGUUAUUCUUCUUCCUGUGGCUCCACAACCCAAUAUGGGUCUUGACCGCCUCAAUUUCUACUCAAUCCUGAUCAUAAUCUCACGCUUUUAUUCAAUUGUACCAUAAUACUGUUCAUUAAUACCAUCUUGCCAUGUCAAAGUACAUUUCUUUCCCGCAGAUGAACUAUGGGUUGGCAUUAUUGACAGUUGAGCGCGACAUAACACUCCAUAUGUUAUGUUGGUAUAGAGUGUGAGGUUAUCGAUGUCUUCAAUGGUCCGUGACAUAACCUGUUCCAAACACAAAUGUAACAUGAAUGACCACGAAUGAAAUGUGACAGUUUCAGUUGAAAUGUUGAUGUGUUUACGUUGCAUAUAUAGAAUACUCUGGAUUUGCCAUGAGAACCUUUAAUCUUGCAGGGCAGAGGAGUGUUGUGGUUUGUAUUUUAUGGGGGCUGCCAAGUUUUGACUGUGCUGAAAAACUUGAUUUAGCCUAUUUACUGCUCAAGAGGAUAUAUAUUGGAGUAGCAGAUUACAAGAAAUAGAUUGAUCUUUCAGAUUCUGAGCUUCAUUCUGUAUGUCACCUGACCUGCGUACUGCUUGCCAGAGUAUGUGGGGCAACACUUGGCAGACUGACUUGAUUUCAGAACAGGAAACCUGCUGGGAGAAUGAAGGAAACUGGUGUCUGCAAGAUAUUCAUCUCUGUCUGAACUUGGCAUGCGUUGUGGCUGGAACAAUUGCAGCCUGGGCCCUUAAUG